rnacentral:rRNA from 1 species
GACGAACGCUGGCGGCGUGCCUAAUACAUGCAAGUCGAGCGGACUUGACAGAGCUUGCUCUGUUCAAGUUAGCGGCGGACGGGUGAGUAACACGUGGGCAACCUGCCCUGCAGAUUGGGAUAACUCCGGGAAACCGGGGCUAAUACCGAAUAACAUGGAAAACCUCAUGGCUUUCUUUUAAAAGGCGGCUUCGGCUGUCACUGCAGGAUGGGCCCGCGGCGCAUUAGACAGUUGGUGAGGUAACGGCUCACCAAGGCGACGAUGCGUAGCCGACCUGAGAGGGUGAUCGGCCACACUGGGACUGAGACACGGCCCAGACUCCUACGGGAGGCAGCAGUAGGGAAUCUUCCGCAAUGGACGAAAGUCUGACGGAGCAACGCCGCGUGAGUGAAGAAGGUUUUCGGAUCGUAAAACUCUGUUGUUAGGGAAGAACAAGUACCGGAGUAACUGCCGGUACCUUGACGGUACCUGACCAGAAAGCCACGGCUAACUACGUGCCAGCCGCCGCCGUAACAC